rnacentral:rRNA from 1 species
UACGGAGGGUGCGAGCGUUGUCCGGAAUCAUUGGGCGUAAAGGGCGCGUAGGUGGCGCGGUAAGCGUGCGGUGAAAGUCCGGGGCUCAACCCCGGAUCUGCCGUGCCGACUGUCAAACUCGAGGACUGUAGAGGCAGACGGAAUUCCGGGUGUAGCGGUGGAAUGCGUAGAGAUCGGAAGAACACCAGUGGCGAAGGCGACUUACUGGACACAUAUUGACGCUGAGGUGCGAAAGCG